rnacentral:rRNA from 1 species
UUAGAGUUUGAUCCUGGCUCAGGAUGAACGCUAGCGGCAGGCCUAAUACAUGCAAGUCGCACGAGAAGCUUCCUUCGGGAAGUGGAGAGUGGCGGACGGGUGCGUAACGCGUAUCCAACCUGCCCUUCAGCGGGGAAUAACAUUGGGAAACCGAUGCUAAUACCGCAUAUAUUGUAAGCUGGGCAUCCAGUUAACAAGAAAGACGCGAGUCACUGAAGGAUGGGGAUGCGUUUGAUUAGCUAGUUGGAGAGGUAACGGCUCCCCAAGGCAACGAUCAAUAGCUGGUCUGAGAGGAUGAUCAGCCACACUGGCACUGAGACACGGGCCAGACUCCUACGGGAGGCAGCAGUAGGGAAUAUUGGGCAAUGGGCGCAAGCCUGACCCAGCCAUGCCGCGUGCGGGACGACGGUCCACAGGAUUGUAAACCGCUUUUCUACGGGAAUAAGGACUUGGUAUCCAGGUUCUGCAGGUACCGUAGGAAUAAGCACCGGCAAACUACGUGCCAGCAGCCGCGGUAAUACGUAGGGUGCAAGCGUUGUCCGGAUUCACUGGGUUUAAAGGGUACGCAGGCGGCUUGGCCAGUCGGCGAUGAAAUAUCGGAGCUUAACUCCGGUGCUGUUGCCGAUACUGCCAGGCUAGAGCGUGGUUGAGGUAGCUGGAAUGGACGGUGUAGCGGUGAAAUGCGUAGAGAUCGUCUGGAACACCAAUUGUGAAGACAGGCUACUGGACCACAGCUGACGCUGAGGUACGAAAGCGUGGGGAGCGAACAGGAUUAGAUACCCUGGUAGUCCACGCUGUAAACGAUGAUUACUCGCUUUGUAUUCACUUGAGGAUACGAGGCUGAGCGAAGCGUUAAGUAAUCCACCUGGGGAGUACGCUCGCAGGGUGAACUCAAAGGAUUGACGGGGCCCGCACAGUGGUGGAGCAUGUGGUUAAUC